UCCACUAACCCAUAUGAAUCCUUUCCUCUUCACUCGCAGGUGGGGAGAAAAGAAAAACACAAGAAAAACACAACAUUGGGGAGAAAAGAAAAACACAACAUUGGGAAGAAAAAGAUCCUACGGCUUUCGGCAACCAAUAAAUUUUAAGGUUCAAGUUGACGUUGCUUGGCGCACUCGAGUUGAACUUGUUUGGCCUUGUGAGGCAACUGGUGGCCAUGUAGAAAAUUAGCCUCUUGGCCAUUUGAUAGUUGUUUCCUGUUAGACUGUGGGAGUUACUGACUCCAGUGCAGAGAAAUGGCAAAAGGUCUCAUAUGGGCAACAGCAGAGGAUUUGGCAAGGAAUAGAGGACGAGUUCUCUCUCUUUAUCGCCAGAUAUUGCGGAGCAUCAACUCCCCAAAGCUUCCACUCACUUUUGCAGCAAGAUUGGCUAAGAAAGCAGAGGUUCGUGCUAUCUUCCUGUUGGCUUCUGAAGAGACAUCCCUGCAUAACAUUGAAGACCUUAUUGACACUGCUGAGUAUUCUCUUUCCCUUCUAAGAAAAGGUGAAAUCCCCAAAUAUAUACAAUGAAGGCACGUACAAUUAUGGCGGUUGGGGAGGAAAAUUACCGGUCAAUGGAAGCCAAAUAUUUGUUAGUUCAUGUGAACACCUUAGAGUAAUUGGGAUGAAAUUCACUAUACAGAAGCUGCUAACAAGUUUGUUUUCAACCAAAUUUCAACUGGAGCCUUUUCCGAUCCACCCGUACCCUUGGAAAUGGCUUGUCACAACAUUUAGAUUCUUAGGCACUUAUAUAUAAAAAUAAAUAAAUAAAUUCUUGUACCAUGGGUUAUUAACUUAUUAUGUACUUUUAAAUUAUUUUCUUCUUUAUUGCUACGAAUAAUAUUGCU